AGAGGAGGGAGAGAUCAGAGUGACUAGUGCAGGCUUCCUGGGGAACCAUUUGAGCUUUGAAGGUGGGGAAGAGGAAUGUCAGAGAGUGGGCAAAAUACAACAGGAAAGGUCCAAAUUCACCCUCUGAGGGCCCGGGGCACGGGGGCAGCCUGCUCUCCUCCUGGGGCCCUGUUCCCUGUGGGGACUGGAAGAGAGGCUUUGAGUCUAGGGCCUGGGGCAGCCAGGACUGACGGGGGUGCAGUCCUAGAAGGGUCGGCAGUCACGGUGGCCCACCAUGGCAUCUCCGUAUCCUUGCUGCAUGCUGCACCCACUCCAGCUGCCAGAGCACGGAGGCAGAGACGUGGGAGCCGAUGAAGGUCGCACGCCAGCCUCCCACCUGUGAGACAAAGGGCCCUGUCACUGGAAGCCACGUCCAGCCUGGCCCCGCAGGAGCCAGGGCUCUGCGCCUAACGGAGGACUGAUGGGAAAGGGAAGGCUGGCAGCAGUGAGGUAGAUGAUGACCGGCCCCAUAAACAGCCACCAAGGGUCACCCUCUCCCUCCCCAGCCCUGAAGGCCAAGAAAUGGGACUGGGCUCCUUGGAUUUAUGACCUUCUGGCUCCUGCAGAGAGAGGAGGACUGGGGCUUGACAAGGACACGCAGGGGCUAAGGACUGUCCUUGGAUCUCAGUAGGACAGCUGACCUUCCCUCCACCCAAUGACUGCUCCAGUCUGAUCGUUCCUGGCCACCUGAUAAUCUCUUUGUGCAAACACCAGGAAGCCCUGGUUAGAGGUGUGGACACCAGGUGUUCUUGAGGAGGACAGUGGUGACUCAGUUUUAUCUGACCCCAUGCUCUCAAGUUCCUUUUCUGUGAGACACUUCUUAUGUGCUACUUUGGACCCUCUCACUUAUCUGUGGGCCAUUGGCCACUGGCCCCAGCCACAGCUGAGACCACCAACUCUGCAUGGACUCAGACAGGCUUCACCCAGGCACACCCAGCAGCCCCUGCCUCAGGUCCCAGCUAUGCACCCCUUAGGCUUGCCUGGAUACUAGGAUGGGAGACACUGCAUCCAUCCAUCCACGACCAGCAAGUAGAGGCAAUUAAUACCCUUCAGGCGACCCAACGCGAGCUGGGAGCCUGUGCACAAAUUAUUCUCCUUUUCUCCCAAAAGGAUUGUGCCGAGAAACAUUUGUGCAGCUUCCCGGAGGAUGGCCCUUGGGGUCGAGCAAGCAGUUAUGUUUGUUACCAAGCCUCGGCCAGCUCCAUAACACACCCUGGAGUUGGCACCACUUCCUUCCCAGCUACACUCCCCUUUCUCUCACACCUGCUCCCUGGGGUCACCUCCCUACCAAAGGAGGGGCACAGGAGCCUUUGUUUCCCGCUCUGCUUUCCAAGAAACCCAAACCAAGCCAUGCUGAGUUCCUUCCAGAGCUCCACUUCCACUUCACGGGAUCCUCUUAGUACCACAGUCAGCACCCAACAUGCCUCUGAGAUGGGCGUGUGAUCCUGACUGGCCAGUCGGCGCCUUAUUUCUCUGGCCACAGAACUUGGCUCAGGAGAUGACAUGUGACCAAUCCGAAUUUUCCCUGGGGACUGAUACGUGGACACCAGGGACCUCGUGCACCAGUAAGGUCGCUGCCUUCCUUCUCUGCCAGAGAUGAUUCUGUCUCAUCCAAUCAAGACUUGAGUGGACUCCAGCUUCCCAGAAAGCCUUUCUCCAUCAUCCCAGCCCCACGAGAUCUUACCCGCUUCACUGGUAACACCCAGAAUCCUCAGCACAACUGCUACCACCAGGUACUGCCUUGCUCCUUUACACUGUUAUGUUGUUUGAAUCUGUUAUGCAGCUGAUUAUGUGUAUUCCUAUUUCUACUAGGCACACAUGGUUCUACCUGGCUAACUACAGUGGAUUCAUUGCCCAAAUGAGGUAGGCAGCUGCUUCAACAUAUAGAGAGGCCAGGUAUCCAAUAUAAGGAACCACAUUAUCCCAGUUUGCCUGGAACUUUCCAAGCUUUAACACUGAGUAGCCUUGGUCUCCCUCAGUCCUGGACAGACUGGGACAUUUGGUCACCUUGUUCAAUGAGCAGGAGCAGGAGGAGAGUGUUGUCUAGGAGAAGCCCCCUUUUAUUUAUUUCCCUUCUGAGACAGGGUCUCGCUCUGUCACCCAGGUUGGGGUCCAGUGGCAGGAUCACAGCUCAUUGCAGCCUCAACCUCCCGAGCUCAUGCAAUCCUCCCACCUCAGCCCCCCAAGUAGCUGGGAUGACAAGCACACCACCACACCCAGUUAUUAUUAUUAUUAUUAUUAUUUUUAAUAGAGACAAGGUCUCACUACAUUGCCCAGGCUGGUCUCAAACUCCUGAGCUCACGCGAUCCUACCACCUUGGCCUCCCAAAGUGCUUACAGGUGUGAGUCACUGCACCCGGCCGGGAAGCCUCUUUUUAAAGUAAAGGACAUAGACUGCACAGAUUCAGCCCAGACUCCAUCUAUUUAUCUAUUUAAUUGAGCUCCUACAAUUUAUUGAGCUUCUACUAUGUGUCUGACACUCUGCUAAGUUCUGAAGAUCCAGAGAUGAACAAGACCUAGUCCCUUCCCUGAAGAGUUUAUAGUUCAGAGCAGGCAUUAGGGAAAUUUUUUGCAAAGGGCUAGAUUACAAGUGUUUUCAGUUUUACAAACCAUACAGUCUCUGUCAUAACUACCGUGGUCUGCUGUAGCUCCAAAGCAGCCACUGCAGACAGUGUGAAUGGACAUGACUGUGUCCCCACAAGACUUGAAGGGCAGCAGCCUCCUGGCACAGAGGUGGAGAAAAACACACAAAGCCUCAGAGCACCUGCCAGGCCCCUGCUGAAGGUAGCAGCUCCAGGCGGCCCCAUAGGCGGCAUCUCACAUGGCCCCAUCUCCUCCGCCGUGGUUGACUGGACCAGGGAGGAGCACGUGAUUCACAGGUAGCCCAUCCUCAGGCUGCCAGUGAUGGACACGGGUGGAGAGGCCAGCAGAGAUAGUGGCCGCCAGCUGGGACAACGGUGGUAGGAGACAGAGACCGAAAGGCAGGAAGGAUAGAGCAGAGCCAAUAGACUUCCCUGGACCCUCAAGCCCUUCCAAACCUGAGCCGUGUUCCAGGCCCCAUGGGGACCUCCCGGGAGGUCUUGCUGUGAGCCUGUCCUGGGACCCGGGCAGGCUUGCACGGAGCUGAGAGUCCUGUCUUCUUUAUUUCCAUGUACAUCCUUCAACAAAACAGCUUUUGCUUCCUUCUUUCUUGUUUAACAAUUCAGUAAUUUUUAGAAAAUUUAUAAAGUUGUGCAACCAUGCAACCAUCACUGUCACCCAGCUUCCAUAAUAAAC
rnacentral:lncRNA from 1 species